GGUGAACGCUGGCGGCGUGCUUAAGACAUGCAAGUGGAACGGCAGUCUUCGGACUGUAGUGGCGCACGGGUGAGUAACGCGUAACUGACCUACCCCAAAGUCGCGGAUAACGAUUCGAAAGAAUCGCUAAUACGUGAUGUGCUGUCAGAUUGUGUUCUGCCAGUAAAGAUUGAUUGCUUUGGGAUGGGGUUGCGUUCCAUCAGCUAGUUGGUGGGGUAAAGGCCCACCAAGGCGACGACGGAUAGCCGGCCUGAGAGGGUGGCCGGCCACAGGGGCACUGAGACACGGGUCCCACUCCUACGGGAGGCAGCAGUUAGGAAUCUUCCACAAUGGGCGAAAGCCUGAUGGGGCGACGCCGCGUGAGGGAUGAAGGUCUUCGGAUCGUAAACCUCUGAAUCAGGGACGAAAGACACUUCGGUGGGAUGACGGUACCUGAGUAAUAGCACCGGCUAACUCCGUGCCAGCCGCCGCCGUAAUAC
rnacentral:rRNA from 1 species